rnacentral:rRNA from 1 species
UACGUAGGUGGCAAGCGUUGUCCGGAUUUAUUGGGUUUAAAGGGUGCGUAGGCGGCCUAUUAAGUCAGUGCUGAAAUACCCCGGCUUAACCGGGAGGGUGGCAUUGAUACUGAUGGGCUUGAGUAGAGUUGAGGUUGGCGGAAUUGACGGUGUAGCGGUGAAAUGCUUAGAUAUCGUCAAGAACACCUAUUGCGAAGGCAGCUAACUAAGCUCAAACUGACGCUGAGGCACGAAAGUGUGGGGAUCAAACAGG